CGAUGAUGGAUUUACUACUUCCUGUGUAUCCUCACUGUGUAUUCUUGGCACGAGUAUUUUACCGUGAUGGAAACUUUGCGAAGCAAACGCUCGGCGAUUGGUACUAUGCGUAAUGCUGAUGGUUGGCGCCUGACAGAAAGGGCUGAUCGAGAGGGAAACUAAUUGGGAAGACAACUAGCUACCCUUGCUAAAAGGGUAGCGCAGAGCCAGGGACGCAAUGGUCGGUUACCAUAGCAACGAGAGGGGUGCCUCUCGAAUACACAGGAGAACAGUGGAGCAAGAGAAGAAGACUGACGUAAGAGUACUACGGUUAGGACCAUACCCGUGUGGUUUGCUAUUCGUGAUGCAUGGUUAGAGGUUCAUGACGUCAAUGGAUAAGAUUGGAUAUGGUUAUAGUAUGACUAAACGAAUUUUUCACUAUUACACAAUUCGAUGGUUAUAACCGGGGAUUGCUUGAGAUGAAAAAAAUUAGGCAGCAUAAUAAAAAAAUAAAAAUCAAUAAUGAAUCAUCGGAACGGUAAGGUCUUCUCAAGAAUGCUGUAACGUCUUCGAUGUUAUUCACAAGCAAUUGGAUGGUGAAUUCAUAGUCAAAGAAUUGCAAAUAAUUUCUACUCCUUUAAUCGUUGUGAAGGAUCACAAGGAACGUAAGUGUAUUCCUAUCUUUUUGUGUGCUUAUCUUUUCUGACUCACUUUUUCAAUUCUACUUCCUCUUAUGACGUUUUUCAUAAAUUUCUUCCUCCUUUUUUUUUAUGGCGACGUAAGCAAAACGUGAUCGAGCGUAGAUCGUCCAUUGUGCUGAUGGUUGGCCUAAUAUGGUAAUGAUGAAAGCUACCUAAGUAUUUAGGCUAUAUGUAUCCUAUAGGUCCAUUAGGCUAUGGUGUGAAUAUAGAGGUACGAUGCAAUACCGGGUGUCUUAAGAAGAUCAGUAUUACAGAAUAAAGCCUUUCUUUGUAAUAUUUAGCUUAUGGAAUCCUGAGAGCGUUGUAGCUAGGUUACUCGAGAUUGCUCCCAUUUCAACAGGAAACCGAUCUCUCUCCGGAAACGAGGUACUGUCAUAUAGAAGAAUUAAAGGAGCACGCGCAUGGAACUACGCCAUAAUGGAUUACAUGGAAGAUUUAAUCCCUCGAGGCUUUCUCUCGUUUCCAUUAAGUUUCCUUAAUCGGUGCCGGUCGCUUCCUUGUUCUCGUUGCGUGAGAAAAUCUGGAGUCGAGAUCGGUUCAAGGUCAGGGCCGUAGAGCCAGUCCCCCUGGAACUGCCAGCUUCGCAUGGAUACUUAAAAUCGUCUGUGUAUAAAAAUAUAUAGAAAUUAUUCGUACAGUCUUUCCCGCAGAAGUUCCUUUCAUUGAAACACGAAACAAUUGCAUGCCUGCCAAAUCAUCGUAGACACAUUCGACCGAGUUGAAAUUUAUUUAAGUAAUAUUGAAAAAGAUUAUUUUCCUCCGCUUCAUCCCGUCUCUCUCUCAAUUUUCUUUAUGCGAUACAAACAGUUCUACGUGCAUUUCGCUGAAAACCAGAAAAUGACGUAGCAAAAUAAUCUAAAUUUAGAAAAUAAUCUUGCUUGUUGCCCGAACGUCGAAAACAAACUUUUCAAAAAGUUAUAGUCUUGCUGCGAAUAGUUUGGCAGGAACGUUAAGAGAAGGCAAUUUCAGUUAAAGCUUUCGAUACCGAUCUUGAGCAGAUCGAUGACUUCGCAGGGUACGAGAGAAUACAAAGGAAAAAGGGAAGUGAAAAAAGAUAUAGGAUAGUACCAAGUAAUAGUAAAUGGCCCGGGGACUCGUCCUUGCAGCAGUUUACAACGUACUAUGCGCCUCCGCACAGGA